rnacentral:lncRNA from 1 species
UCCCUUGAUUUUUCUAUACAAAUGUUACUCUCUGCUUUAUAUGGAAUUUAGCCAAACAGUUCUCAAAACAAAAGUGUAUAGGAAACCUUCACACCAACAAGUCCUGAUUCCAAAAUGGUCACCUGAUCCGCCAUCUUAUAAAAGAGCUGCGUUUCAAUCCCUCUUUAAAAGAGCAAUCUCUAUUGCACGGACCCAAUGGAUUUGAGUACGGAAAUAAAUAACAUCUACACCAUAGGACUCCAACAUGGUUUUUCAAAGACAUUUAUAAAAGGAAUCCACAACAGGGUGCAAAGACACACAGCAGCCGGGCCGCGAACGACAGUAAACAUAGAAGAAGCUGCUGCACCAGACAGGGACUAUUUUCCCAUACUAUACCCCUCGAAACACUGGAAGGCAUUAAGAAAAUGUAUUGAGAAAUGCAGCAAAAAACCAGCAUUCACAAGGAACCCUACCAUAUUUAGCAG